rnacentral:rRNA from 1 species
UACGUAGGGGGCAAGCGUUGUCCGGAUUUAUUGGGCGUAAAGAGCGUGUAGGCGGCCAGACAGGUCAGCUGUGAAAACUCGAGGCUCAACCUCGAGACGCCGGUGGAAACCAUCUAGCUAGAGUCCGGAAGAGGAGAGUGGAAUUCCUGGUGUAGCGGUGAAAUGCGCAGAUAUCAGGAAGAACACCCGUGGCGAAGGCGGCUCUCUGGUACGUGACUGACGCUGAGACGCGAAAGCGUGGGGAGCGAACAGG